rnacentral:rRNA from 1 species
CCUACGGGUGGCAGCAGUGGGGAAUAUUGGGCAAUGGGCGCAAGCCUGACCCAGCAACGCCGCGUGAAGGAAGAAGGCUUUCGGGUUGUAAACUUCUUUUCUGAGGGACGAAGAAAGUGACGGUACCCCAGGAAUAAGCCACGGCUAACUACGUGCCAGCAGCCGCGGUAAUACGUGGGCGGCAGGCGUUGUCCGGAUUUAUUGGGUGUAAAGGGCGUGUAGGCGGGAAAGCAAGUCAGAUGGGAAACGUCAGGGCUCAACCCUGAGCCUGCAUUUGAACCUGUUGUUCUUGAGUGGGGGAGAGGCAAGCGGAAUGCCGGGUGUAGCGGUGAAAUGCGUAGAUAUACGGAAGAACACCAGUGGCGAAGGCGGAUUGCUGGACCGAAACUGACGCUGAGGCGCGAAAGCGUGGGGAGCGAACAGGAUUAGAUACCCCAGUAGUC